AUGGCUUCAUCUUCAAUAAAAGCAGGUCAAGGCACAAUGGAGGAGAGUGUCUAUAGCCAGCCAUCAACUAGAUGGUGAACUCCUGGAAACAAGGCUUUCUCUGGGGCUGAAGGCAUUUAAGGAGCCCUCAAGCUACUCUUCCCUUGAAUGGAUUCAAGAGCCAUCAGCAUUGCUGCCCAGUGCUCUCACCACGACCCUCACCUUCAUCAGUAGUUCCCGGCUGGUCAAAUGGUUAUUAUGGUCUGAGAAAAUAUCUGAAAGUUCUUCCAACAUCAGCAUUCAGUCCCUAGAAAGAGAGAUUAAGAAAAUAUUAACAAUGAAGAAUUAGUAAAAACCUGACACCUUCGGCCUAGCUGUCUUCAGUACCCAUGGCUAUGGAGGGAUUGUGCUGAUCCCAGGACUGGUGGGCAAUAUGAGCACAGAUGAAGCCAAUGACUUUUCUAUGCAGGAUGGCUUUUAUGUUUUUAAGAUGGACAUGGGUCCUUGUGAGAAGAGAGGGAUAUUUUCUAACCAUGCAUGUUAUAAUCAUUAAAAAGGAUUACUCAGAGCAUCAAGUCAUUCAACUGGGACAUGUUCUCUUCAGUACUUUUUUUUGUUUUUUUAAUCUAUCUUAGCAACACACACAGAGCCCAGUGGAACCUGAGAGGUCAUCUUGGCCAGGCCCUUAAUUUUAGAGAUGAAGAUGCCAGGGCCAGGGAUUUGCUCAAGUUUCCACUAGGAACUGCUAAGAGUUGCAGGUAUAGAACCCCAAUUUUCUGGAUCAUGGGCUAGUGUUCUUAUGCUCAGAGCAAAAUGGUGGAGCCAUGACAGGCUCUGCAGCCAGAUCAGGUGGGUUCGAAUCCCAACUCUGUCAUUCAUGUCCUGAGUGAUCCUGGGCAAGUUGCUUCAAUUUUCUUAUCUGUACAAUGUAAAUACUAGCACCCCUCAUGGGAUUGCUGUGAAAGUAAGUGGGAUCACAUACAUAAGGCACCUGCUCUGCCCUUGCCCCAUCCAGUACUCUUCUCUAUGUACCCCUCCGGGGCUACUGAGUGCAUGAUUCUCAAGGCAAAGAACUAAUAGGGGCAGUAUCACUGGAUGAGUAUAUGCAACAUUUCCUUUACCAUGAA